rnacentral:rRNA from 1 species
GACACGGUCCAGACUCCUACGGGAGGCUGCAGUCGAGAAUCAUUGUCAAUGCACGAAAGUGUGAACAUGCGACGCCGCGUGGAGGAAGACGGCCUUCGGGUUGUAAACUCCUGUCAGCAGGAAGGAAAAAUCAGACGAUUAAUACUCGUUUGUUUUGACAGUACCUGCAGAGGAAGUCACGGCUAACUCUGUGCCAGCAGCCGCGGUAAUACAGAGGUGGCGAACGUUGUUCGGAUUUACUGGGCGUAAAGGGUCCGCAGGCGGUCUUGUGUGUCGGAUGUGAAAGCUCACGGCUCAACCGUGGAAUUGCAUUCGAAACUGCAAGACUAGAGUACUGGAGGGGAGAAGGGAACACUUGGUGUAGCGGUGAAAUGCGUAGAUAUCAAGUGGAACACCGGAGGCGAAGGCGCUUCUCUGGACAGAUACUGACGCUCAUGGACGAAAGUUAGGGUAGCGAAAGGGAUUAGAUACCCCUGUAGUCCUAACCGUAAACGGUGUGCGCUAGGCGUGGGUGGCUUUACCCCCAUCCGUGCCUGAGCUAACGCAUUAAGCGCACCGCCUGGGGAGUACGGUCGCAAGAUUAAAACUCAAAGGAAUUGACGGGGACCCGCACAAGCGGUGGAGCAUGCGGCUUAAUUCGAUGCAACGCGAAGAACCUUACCUGGGCUUGACAUAUAGCUGCAUACGACCCGAAAGGGACGUAGCCUUCGAGGGUGCUAUACAGGUGCUGCAUGGCUGUCGUCAGCUCGUGCCGUGAGGUGUUGGGUUAAGUCCCGCAACGAGCGCAACCCCUGUGAUUAGUUGCCAGCACGUAAUGGUGGGAACUCUAAUCAGACUGCUUGUGAAAACAAGAGGAAGGUGGGGAUGACGUCAAGUCAGUAUGGUCCUUAUGUCCAGGGCUGCACGCGUGCUACAAUGGGCAGUACAGUGGGAAGCAAUAUCGCGAGAUGGAGCAAAUCCUCAAAGCUGCCCCCAGUUCGGAUUGGAGUCUGAAACUCGACUCCAUGAAGUCGGAAUCGCUAGUAAAGGCGUAUCAGCUACGACGCCUUGAAUACGUUCCCGGGUCUUGUACACACCGCCCGUCACAUCAUGGAAGUCUGUUGCACCCGAAAUCGUUGAUCCAACCCGUCAAGGGAGGAAGGCGCCUAAGGUGUGAUAGGUAACUGGGAUGAAGUCGUAACAAGGUAGCCGUUGGGGAACCAGUGG